rnacentral:rRNA from 1 species
UACACUCCUGCGGGAGGCAGCAGUGGGGAAUAUUGCACAAUGGGCGCAAGCCUGAUGCAGCCAUGCCGCGUGUAUGAAGAAGGCCUUCGGGUUGUAAAGUACUUUCAGCGGGGAGGAAGGCGAUAAGGUUAAUAACCUUGUCGAUUGACGUUACCCGCAGAAGAAGCACCGGCUAACUCCGUGCCAGCAGCCGCGGUAAUACGGAGGGUGCAAGCGUUAAUCGGAAUUACUGGGCGUAAAGCGCACGCAGGCGGUCUGUCAAGUCGGAUGUGAAAUCCCCGGGCUCAACCUGGGAACUGCAUUCGAAACUGGCAGGCUAGAGUCUUGUAGAGGGGGGUAGAAUUCCAGGUGUAGCGGUGAAAUGCGUAGAGAUCUGGAGGAAUACCGGUGGCGAAGGCGGCCCCCUGGACAAAGACUGACGCUCAGGUGCGAAAGCGUGGGGAGCAAACAGGAUUAGAAACCCUGGUAGUCCCA